rnacentral:rRNA from 1 species
UGGGGAAUCUUGGACAAUGGGGGCAACCCUGAUCCAGCCAUGCCGCGUGAGUGAUGAAGGCCUUAGGGUCGUAAAGCUCUUUCGCCUGUGAAGAUAAUGACGGUAGCAGGUAAAGAAACCCCGGCUAACUCCGUGCCAGCAGCCGCGGUAAUACGGAGGGGACUAGCGUUGUUCGGAAUUACUGGGCGUAAAGAGUUCGUAGGCGGACUAGCAAGUUAGAGGUGAAAUCCCAGGGCUCAACCUUGGAACUGCCUUUAAAAGCUGCUAGUCUAGAGACCGGAAGAGGUUAGGGGAAUACCUAGUGUAGAGGUGAAAUUCGUAGAUAUUUGGAGGAACACCAGUGGCGAAGGCGGCUCACUGGCUCGAUACUGACGCUGAGGUGCGAAAGUGUGGGGAAGCAAACAGGAUUAGAUACCCUGGUAGUCCACACCGUAAACGAUGAAUGCCAGUCGUCGGGUAGCAUGCUAUUCGGUGACACACCUAACGGAUUAAGCA